rnacentral:rRNA from 1 species
AACAGGAUUAGAUACCCUGGUAGUCCACGCUGUAAACGAUGUCGACUUGGAGGUUGUGCCCUUGAGGCGUGGCUUCCGGAGCUAACGCGUUAAGUCGACCGCCUGGGGAGUACGGCCGCAAGGUUAAAACUCAAAUGAAUUGACGGGGGCCCGCACAAGCGGUGGAGCAUGUGGUUUAAUUCGAUGCAACGCGAAGAACCUUACCUACUCUUGACAUCCAGAGAGUUUGCUAGAGAUAGCUUAGUGCCUUCGGGAACUCUGAGACAGGUGCUGCAUGGCUGUCGUCAGCUCGUGUUGUGAAAUGUUGGGUUAAGUCCCGCAACGAGCGCAACCCUUAUCCUUUGUUGCCAGCACGUAAUGGUGGGAACUCAAAGGAGACUGCCGGUGAUAAACCGGAGGAAGGUGGGGAUGACGUCAAGUCAUCAUGGCCCUUACGAGUAGGGCUACACACGUGCUACAAUGGCAUAUACAAAGAGAAGCGAACUCGCGAGAGCAAGCGGACCUCAUAAAGUAUGUCGUAGUCCGGAUUGGAGUCUGCAACUCGACUCCAUGAAGUCGGAAUCGCUAGUAAUCGUAGAUCAGAAUGCUACGGUGAAUACGUUCCCGGGCCUUGUACACACCGCCCGUCACACCAUGGGAGUGGGUUGCAAAAGAAGUAGGUAGCUUAACCUUCGGGAGGGCGCUUACCACUUUGUGAUUCAUGACUGGGGUGAAGUCGUAACAAGGUAACC